UUUUGGAAGAAAAAGUUGUAAUUAUACCUACAGGCUACAGAAAUUUCAUUUGGUUUCGACACGGGCAACCAGCUGGUCAUAUUUCUGGAACAAGUAACAAAAAACAAAUCUAAAUUCUCAAUGUAAAAAUGUAAUACAGUUGGGCAUGAUUCCUCGCCCGAAUCCGGAGAAUCGAAGCCACAAGUCGAUGUUGAUGACGACAGGGCGUCGAUUCUCCUCAUGGACGGGAGAUAUCAACACUCAUGAAUACAGCUGCCGGCGUUGGUUCAACAAUGGUCACCAGGCGGUCCAGUUUGGGGGGGCAAAUCCAUCCAUCCAGCUGCAAGUAAACCACAUCACUGGACUAUCUGUCGUCCACAAGGUGCUACCACGAGAAGAAGUGAAAGUAGCACCUCAACAUGCUGCUGAUUUGCUGUAAACUAUGUACACACACAACUUUUUAUCCACAGCGUGAUCGGCUGCUAAUGGAUCGUUCGUCGUUACACAUUACAUACGUUACACUUUACACGUUACACUUUACACUUUAAACGUUAAGCGUAAGCGGUUUACAAUUAGUCUUGCCAAUUCACACACAUUUCCUUAUUGUUUUUACCGCAAACCAAUUGAAUAUAAUAAUGCAGAAAUGAACUACUCACACUGACAACACUGAAGCUAAUACUUCAUUUAUGCAGAAUUUGAAAUUGAAUGGGACACAACAACUGUAUGCAUUUUAUAUAAUUUGAUAACACUGAAAAACACCGAAUGUUGUAGCAAAUACACUGUCUCUCCAAAUGUACACAAAUAAAAUGGGGUGCCCCCCAAAGAAUGAAAACAUCAGUUAA